UAAUAUACCGGUUCUCGUUAGAUCACCGAAGUCAAGCAUCAUUGGGCGCGGUCAGUACUUGGAUGGGUGACCACCUGCGAACACCGCGUGCCGUU
rnacentral:rRNA from 1 species